AUGGGGGCGGAUGGGAAGAAGCCGUACGUGAUCGCCGUGAUCAUACAGGUGAUCUACACCGGCAUGUUCGUCGUCUCCAAGGCGGCCUUCAACCAGGGGUUCAGCACCUACGUCUUCAUCUUCUACCGCCAGGCCGCCGCGUCUCUCCUCUUGCUACCACUCGCCAUUGCCCUCGAGAGGAAAAACGCGUGGGCAAUGUCGUUCCGGUUGCUCCUGAAGCUGUUCAUGUUUGCCUUGAUCGGGACUACAUUUAGCUUGAAUCUGUACAACGUGAGCCUCAAGUUGACAUCUGCAACCGUGGGAUCUGCGACCAGCAACUCCAUGCCGGUGGUCACCUUCUUCAUAGCGCUUCUGCUGAGGAUGGAGGUGGUGAAGCUGAGGAGCCCCUCGGGCAUGGCCAAGGUGGCCGGCGUGGGGCUCUGCCUCGCCGGGGUGCUCGUCAUCGCCUUCUACGUGGGGCCGUCCCUGAACCCGGUGAACCACCACCGCGCCCUGGCUGCCGCGACCGGAGACGCCGGCGCGACGAGGGGGACGUGGAUCAUGGGCACCUUCCUCAUGGUGCUCGCCAACGUGACGUGGUCCCUGUGGAUCGUCCUGCAGGCCGCGCUGCUCAAGGAGUACCCCAACAAGCUGCUCGUGACGGCGACGCAGUGCGUCUUCAGCGCCGGCCAGUGCUUCGUCGUCGCGGCGGUCGCUGAGAGGGACUUCUCCAGGUGGCAGCUCCGCUUCGACGUCACCUUGCUCGCCGUCCUCUACACCGGGUUCGUGGUGACGGGGGUGUCCUACUACCUGCAAGCAUGGUGCGCGGACAUGAAAGGGCCGGUCUUCCUCGCCGUGUGGACCCCGCUCUGCUUCGUCCUCACCAUUUUCUGCUCCUCCUUCUUCCUCGGAGAGAUCGUUCACCUCGGCAGUAUCUUGGGUGGAGUCCUUCUCGUUGGAGGUCUGUACAGCGUGCUGUGGGGCAAAAGCAAGGAGAACCGGAUUGCGCCAUGUGGCGAGACGAAUAUGAUCCAUGGCGUGGAGGGCGAGAAUUCUGCAGAUGAUGAGGAGAAGAACGAGAGGAGCAACCAAGUUAACGGGGAGAGGGAGCACGAUAAGGAAGUAACGAUGUCGCCGGCUGAACAAGUCUGA
rnacentral:rRNA from 1 species